AAUUGAUUAAUAAUAUUUUGAUUUCGAAUCAAAAAAUAAAAAUCAAAUA
rnacentral:tRNA from 1 species